rnacentral:antisense_RNA from 1 species
CAACCGGGAAACCACAUACCAUGGACAGUGCUCGGGGAAUUUCGGCUCCUCCUCAUCCCUGGGGGUUCCAGGGAUCUGGCAGAGAAAGAAGCCCAGUCUUACAGCAAUGACUCCUGAACAUCCUUUGCAAACACUAUUUAGGACAGAUGGACCGAAGUAGGCCCUGGGGAGAGUUGGGGGCAUUUCGGGAGGGAACAUCCCAAAACUCAGCAGAGGGGGAGAGGGAGCUUUUGUUGGUCGCCUGGAACCACUACCAAUCCAUGUUCAUGUCAAAUUAAAUGAUCACUUUGAAAU